AGGUCUAAGAAGCCUUCGAUGUACCCGCGAGCACGGUCCCAGAGUUGUGGGACUCGGAAGUGCGUCAUUUGCGGAGGUAAACAUGACCCGAACCAUUGCGAGCAAAAAGAGGGAAGAUGCUUCACGUGUGGUCAGGCGGGGCACAUCAGCCGCCACUGUCCAAGGAGGACCUCGCCUGUCCCGUCUACUCCAUCGGCUCCGGCAAUUUCGGGCCAUUAUGGAGGAGCC
rnacentral:lncRNA from 1 species